AACGAACGCUGGCGGCGUGGAUAAGACAUGCAAGUCGAACGAGACUUUUCGUUGUAGCAAUACGAUGGAAAGUUUAGUGGCGAACGGGUGCUUAACACGUGGGCAACCUGCCAGGAAGUGGGGGAUAGCUCGCCGAAAGGCGAAUUAAUACCGCAUGUGAUUAGAAAGGACAUCCUUUCGAAAUUAAAGUCGGUGCAACCUGACGCUUCUUGUGGGGCCCGCGGCCUAUCAGCUAGUUGGUGAGGUAAUGGCUCACCAAGGCUUUGACGGGUAGCUGGUCUGAGAGGACGACCAGCCACACUGGGACUGAGACACGGCCCAGACACCUACGGGUGGCAGCAGUCGAGAAUUUUUGACAAUGGGGGAAACCCUGAUCGAGCGACGCCGCGUGGAGGAUGAAGGUCUUCGGAUUGUAAACUCCUGUCAUUGGGGAACAAGGUGCAUACGUUAACUGCGUGUGCAUUGAUAGUACCCGAAGAGGAAGAGACGGCUAACUCUGUGCCAGCAGCCGCCGUAAGAC
rnacentral:rRNA from 1 species